rnacentral:rRNA from 1 species
UGCUUAACACAUGCAAGUCGAACGGAAAGGCCCUGCUUUUGUGGGGUGCUCGAGUGGCGAACGGGUGAGUAACACGUGAGUAACCUGCCCUUGACUUUGGGAUAACUUCAGGAAACUGGGGCUAAUACCGGAUAGGAGCUCCUGCUGCAUGGUGGGGGUUGGAAAGUUUCGGCGGUUGGGGAUGGACUCGCGGCUUAUCAGCUUGUUGGUGGGGUAGUGGCUUACCAAGGCUUUGACGGGUAGCCGGCCUGAGAGGGUGACCGGCCACAUUGGGACUGAGAUACGGCCCAGACUCCUACGGGAGGCAGCAGUGGGGAAUAUUGCACAAUGGGCGGAAGCCUGAUGCAGCAACGCCGCGUGCGGGAUGACGGCCUUCGGGUUGUAAACCGCUUUCGCCUGUGACGAAGCGUGAGUGACGGUAAUGGGUAAAGAAGCACCGGCUAACUACGUGCCGGCAGCCGCGGUGAUACGUAGGGUGCGAGCGUUGUCCGGAUUUAUUGGGCGUAAAGGGCUCGUAGGUGGUUGAUCGCGUCGGAAGUGUAAUCUUGGGGCUUAACCCUGAGCGUGCUUUCGAUACGGGUUGACUUGAGGAAGGUAGGGGAGAAUGGAAUUCCUGGUGGAGCGGUGGAAUGCGCAGAUAUCAGGAGGAACACCAGUGGCGAAGGCGGUUCUCUGGGCCUUUCCUGACGCUGAGGAGCGAAAGCGUGGGGAGCGAACAGGCUUAGAUACCCUGGUAGUCCACGCUGUAAACGGUGGGUACUAGGUGUGGGGUCCAUUCCACGGGUUCCGUGCCGUAGCUAACGCUUUAAGUACCCCGCCUGGGGAGUACGGCCGCAAGGCUAAAACUCAAAGGAAUUGACGGGGCCCCGCACAAGCGGCGGAGCAUGCGGAUUAAUUCGAUGCAACGCGUAGAACCUUACCUGGGUUUGACAUGGAUCGGGAGCGCUCAGAGAUGGGUGUGCCUCUUUUGGGGUCGGUUCACAGGUGGUGCAUGGCUGUCGUCAGCUCGUGUCGUGAGAUGUUGGGUUAAGUCCCGCAACGAGCGCAACCCUUGUUCACUGUUGCCAGCACGUUAUGGUGGGGACUCAGUGGAGACCGCCGGGGUCAACUCGGAGGAAGGUGGGGAUGACGUCAAGUCAUCAUGCCCCUUAUGUCCAGGGCUUCACGCAUGCUACAAUGGCUGGUACAGAGAGUGGCGAGCCUGUGAGGGUGAGCGAAUCUCGGAAAGCCGGUCUCAGUUCGGAUUGGGGUCUGCAACUCGACCUCAUGAAGUCGGAGUCGCUAGUAAUCGCAGAUCAGCAACGCUGCGGUGAAUACGUUCCCGGGGCUUGUACACACCGCCCGUCAAGUCAUGAAAGUUGGUAACACCCGAAGCCGGUGGCCUAACCGUUGUGGGGGAGCCGUCGAAGGUGGGACUGGUGAUUAGGACUAAGU